AUACGUAGGUGGCAAGCGUUGUCCGGAUUUACUGGGCGUAAAGGGAGCGUAGGUGGAUAUUUAAGUGGGAUGUGAAAUACUCGGGCUUAACCUGAGUGCUGCAUUCCAAACUGGAUAUCUAGAGUGCAGGAGAGGAAAGUAGAAUUCCUAGUGUAGCGGUGAAAUGCGUAGAGAUUAGGAAGAAUACCAGUGGCGAAGGCGUACUUUCUGGACUGUAACUGACACUGAGGCUACGAAAGCGUGGGGAGC
rnacentral:rRNA from 1 species